GACGAACGCUGGCGGCGUGCUUAACACAUGCAAGUCGAACGGUAAGGCCCUUCGGGGUACACGAGUGGCGAACGGGUGAGUAACACGUGGGUGAUCUGCCCUGCACUUCGGGAUAAGCCUGGGCAACUGGGUCUAAUACCGGAUAGGACCACUGCCUGCAUGGGUGGUGGUGGAAAGCUUUUGCGGUGUGGGAUGGGCCCGCGGCCUAUCAGCUUGUUGGUGGGGUGAGGGCCUACCAAGGCGACGACGGUUAGCCGGCCUGAGAGGGUGACCGGGCACACGGGGACUGAGAUACGGCGCAGACUCCGACGGGAGGCAGCAGUGGUGAAUAUUGCACAAUGGGCGCAAGCCUGAUGCAGCGACGCCGCGUGAGGGAUGACGGCCUUCGGGUUGUAAACCUCUUUCAGCACCGACGAAGCGCAAGUGACGGUAGGUGCAGAAGAAGGACCGGCCAACUACGUGCCAGCCGCCGCAGUAA
rnacentral:rRNA from 1 species